GAGCAUUCAAGUUUCGUUUUUUUGCACUUGCUUAGUAGCUGAAAUUGCGGACAUUGCAGGGUUGGGCUUGAUGACAUUUGUUGCUUAGCUGCCGCGACGCAUUUGGAGCUAAGCUUCUGCUUAUUUCCUUUGGCCGCACCUUAUAUUUGUUGUCUUUGUCAACAUCUGACCUGUUUCUGCCUUGUUGAAAGCAAGUGGCCACAAGUACUGCUUAGUUUGCUCAGUCUAAACCUGGUAGUGCAUCCAGUUUAGCGCCGUGCACAUGUGUACGGACGCGUGCACCGACGUAACGCUGCUGCCCAUCGCGAGUCGUAAGCGAAAAAAAAAAGGCCGACUGAAAAAAAACAAGAAAUAUAAUAAGCUGCACGAUCAACAGAUUUUUGAAGAGACCGUUUCAACAGAGAUAUCUGAAGCAGAUCGUUAUUGGAUAUGAAGAAAUGUGCAGUGGAUAACAGCGAAACAUGUGGUAACCGACUGACUGACGGUAGUAAGGCUCACAGCCUAAGUUUUUCACUAUUUACACCGAUAAUGUAGCACGUAUUUGCGCAAAUAAAUCACCUGCUAUGCGCAGCAACCGCACUCAAUCGAAGCCGCCAACGCAGCGAUGCACCAUUUGCUAUUUCAGGAUCACGAAAAACAAUGUAUUCACCGAAGUACAGCGGCGGUUGACCUGUCGGCAAGCUGUUAAUUCACAUAUGGCGAAAGCAAAUAUCACGGAGUCCAAGCCCACGAAACUGCGCUCGCAAGAAUAUCGCGCACGCUUGGGCCUUUCC